rnacentral:rRNA from 1 species
UUACAAUGGAGAGUUUGAUCCUGGCUCAGGAUGAACGCUAGCGGCAGGCCUAAUACAUGCAAGUCGAACGAUAUUAUCCAGCUUGCUGGAUAAGAAAGUGGCGCACGGGUGCGUAACGCGUAUGCAACCUACCUUAAUCAGGGGGAU